rnacentral:ncRNA from 1 species
UCUCUGGUUGAUCCUGCCAGUAGUCAUAUGCUUGUCUCAAAGCUGAAGCAAUGUCAAGUGUCAGUACAUACUAAAUUAAAGUGAAACCGCAAAGGGCUCAGUAAACCAGUUUUAAUUUACUAGAGUUUUCACGUUUCGUACGUGGAUAACUGUGGUAAUUCUAGAGCUAAUACAUGCAACUAAGUCCGGACCAGAAAUGGAAAGGACGCUUUUAUUAGAUCAAAACCAUUCGCCCGGCUUGUCUGGGCGUUGUUUUGGUGAAUCUAGAUAACACUUGUGAUCGUACAGUCACCGUACUGACGACAUCUCUUUCAAACGCCUGACUUAUCAGCUGUCGAUGGUAGACUCUGUGUCUACCAUG